rnacentral:rRNA from 1 species
AUCCUGCCGGAGGACAUUGCUAUUGGGAUUCGAUUUAGCCAUGCUAGUCGAACGAGUUCACACUCGUGGCACAUAGCUCAGUAACACGUGGCCAAGCUACCCUUCAGUCAGCAAUACCCUCGGGAAACUGAGGCUAAUAGCUGAUACGAAACAGACGCUGGAAUGCACUGUAUUCCAAAGACACCGCUGAAGGAUGCGGCUGCGGCCGAUUAGGUAGACGGUGGGGUAACGGCCCACCGUGCCAGUAAUCGGUACGGGUGAUGAGAGUCAGAGCCCGGAGACGGAAUCUGAGACAAGAUUCCGGGCCCUACGGGGCGCAGCAGGCGCGAAACCUUUACACUGCACGAAAGUGCGAUAGGGGAAUCCCAAGUGCGAGGGCAUAUUAGCCCUCGCUUUUGUUGACUCUAAGGCGGUCAACGAAUAAGAGCUGGGCAAGACCGGUGCCAGCCGCCGCGGUAAUACCGGCAGCUCAAGUGAUGGCCGAUAUUAUUGGGCCUAAAGCGUUCGUAGCUGGCCAGACAAGUCCGUUGGGAAAUCCGCAUGCUUAACGUGCGGGCGUCCAGCGGAAACUGUCCGGCUUGGGACCGGAAGACCCGAGGGGUACGUCCAGGGUAGGAGUGAAAUCCCGUAAUCUUGGACGGACCACCUGUGGCGAAAGCGCCUCGGGAAGACGGAUCCGACAGUGAGGAACGAAAGCCAGGGUCUCGAACCGGAUUAGAUACCCGGGUAGUCCUGGCUGUAAACGAUGUCCGCUAGGUGUGACGCAGGCUACGAGCCUGCGUUGUGCCGUAGGGAAGCCGUGAAGCGGACCGCCUGGGAAGUACGUCUGCAAGGAUGAAACUUAAAGGAAUUGGCGGGGGAGCACUACAACCGGAGGAGCCUGCGGUUUAAUUGGACUCAACGCCGGACAUCUCACCAGCCCCGACAUCAGUAAUGACAGUCAUGUUGACGACAUCCACUCGAGCUGAUGAGAGGAGGUGCAUGGCCGCCGUCAGCUCGUACCGUGAGGCGUCCUGUUAAGUCAGGCAACGAGCGAGACCCGCACUCCUAAUUGCCAGCAGCAGUCUCGACUGGCUGGGUACAUUAGGAGGACUGCCAGUGCCAAACUGGAGGAAGGAACGGGCAACGGUAGGUCAGUACGCCCCGAAUGGGCUGGGCUACACGCGGGCUACAAUGGCCGGGACAAUGGGUCGCCACCUCGAAAGAGGGCGCUAAUCUCAGAAACCCGGUCGUAGUUCGGANNGAGGGCUGAAACUCGCCCUCNNNAAGCUGGAUUCGGUAGUAAUCGCCGUUCACCAGACGGCGGUGAAUACGUCCCUGCUCCUUGUACACACCGCCCGUCA